rnacentral:tRNA from 10 species
GGGCUAGUGGCUUAGCGGCAUAGCGUCUCGUUUACACCGAGAAGGUGGAAGGUUCGACUCCUUCCUGGCCCA